rnacentral:rRNA from 1 species
AUACGUAGGGGGCGAGCGUUGUCCGGAAUGAUUGGGCGUAAAGGGCGCGUAGGCGGCGCGGUAAGUCUGGAGUGAAAGUCCUGGUUUCGAGGUGGGAAUUGCUUUGGAUACUGCCGCGCUUGAGUGCAGGAGAGGUUAUCGGAAUUCCCGGUGUAGCGGUGAAAUGCGUAGAGAUCGGGAGGAACACCAGUGGCGAAGGCGGGUAACUGGACUGCAACUGACGCUGAGGCGCGAAAGUGUGGGGAGCAAACAGGAUUAGAUACCCUGGUAGUCCACACUGUAAACGAUGAAUGCUAGGUGUAAGAGGUAUAGACCCCUUUUGUGCCGGAGUCAACGCAAUAAGCAUUCCGCCUGGGGAGUACGGCCGCAAGGUUGAAACUCAAAUGAAUUGACGGGG